GACGAACCGUGCGAACGUUAUUCGGAAUCACUGGGCUUAAAGCGCGUGUAGGCGGGCCGGCACGUCGGUCGCUGAAAUCCCCCGGCUCAACCGGGGAAUUGCUGGGCAUACUGGCGGUCUUGAGCAAUCUAGGGGCAGAUGGAACAAGUGGUGGAGCGGUGAAAUGCGUAGAUAUCACUUGGAACGCCAAAGGUGAAGACAGUCUGCUGGGGAUUUGCUGACGCUGAGACACGAAAGCCAGGGGAGCGAACGGG
rnacentral:rRNA from 1 species